AAGGAAAUGCCAUUAGGGCAUACGGAACCUUGCACAUCGUAUUACUUUGUUUAGUUUUGAAGGAUUUAUACCUUCAGACGUUGUUCUUUGAAAACUAAAUAGUUGAUUCGACACAAAUGUUAAUUUAUUAAUAUUUAUAUAGAAACAACACCGAGAAAUAUAGAGUCUAUUUAUUGUAAAGAGUGCAAUAACAAAGAAAAAACCAAACGCUAUAAUAAUACCUUUAACCGACA
rnacentral:misc_RNA from 1 species